UACGAAGGGGGCUAGCGUUGUUCGGAAUUACUGGGCGUAAAGCGUAUGCAGGCGGACUUUUAAGUCGGGGGUGAAAUCCCGAGGCUCAACCUCGGAACUGCCUUCGAUACUGGAAGUCUUGAGUCCGGGAGAGGUGAGUGGAACUCCGAGUGUAGAGGUGAAGUUCGUAGAUAUUCGGAAGAACACCAGUGGCGAAGGCGGCUCACUGGCCCGGUACUGACGCUGAGAUACGAAAGCGUGGGGAGCAAACAGG
rnacentral:rRNA from 1 species